UGCUGAGAACCGUCAGCUCGUCGCCCACCAGCAGAGAGUUCCAGAACUGCAGUACACAACCCGAGGCCUUGGCUGUGGCGAUCACGUCGUUGCGGUCAGUUAAUUUUAGAUGCCAAUCUCCAGGAAAUACAAUGAAGCUACUUAGCUGUGCCAAAUCACAUGAACUCUUGAAUUAAUUUCUAAUGAAGACAGAUGUUGUCUCCUACCUUCCCCUGUGGCGACCCAGCGCAUGUCCCCUCCCUGUGGCUCGAUGAUGAGGUUCGCUGUGGAUCCUCUAGGAAAGAGGUGCUGCAUAGCCUCCAGGUCUCCUGUAUACAGAGCGUUCUGGACGACCACAUCUUGGCAGACAGCUGGUGGCGUGGCAGUCCUCGACGUCGACGGUGCCCUGUCCCUGAGCGUCUUCUUCAGCAUAUAGCUAUUGAAGUGAUGGGAGGCCAGCUGCCUCUUGAUCUUGUGUCUCUCCAGCAUGUCUUCAUCAUACUCAAGAGAGCGUAAGGCCAUGGAUGUGAAGACAAAGCUGUCUCGCGACAUGCUAAAUGGCCUCUCACAGAGAAAAGUGUUUGUGUAAAAGAUGUGUAUGAUUAAGUGAGGGAAGCCUGUCUCUCUGUUUCUGUUGUUGUUUCCUUCUCUCUGGAUAAUGUCCACUAUGUGCCUGCCGGCUGUUCACAGGACUGGUUCACAGAGUUGUUUUGAUAUUCGGUAUGAGACCCUCCCUGGAGUAUGACAAGUAAUGCUAUUUUUAUGUCUCACGUGCAGCCAUUCGAGCCUCUCCUGUUCGCCUCCAGCAAUGUUACAGCCAUGAAGUGUCUCUGUCAGGCUGUAAGUAUCAAAUGAGUUGAAUAAACUCAUGUUUUGUAACUACAA